CCAUCAUUCAGUUGGGCGACUUUAGAGAGACUGCCGGUGGUUAAGCCGGAGGAAGGUGGGGAUGACGUCAAGUCCUCAUGGCCUUUAUGUCUAGGGCUACACACGUGCUACAAUGGGUGGUACAAAGAGCAGCUAACUCGCGAGAGUAUGCAAAUCUCAAAAAGCCAUCCUCAGUUCGGAUUGGAGUCUGCAACUCGACUCCAUGAAGUUGGAAUCGCUAGUAAUCGCGGAUCAGCAUGCCGCGGUGAAUACGUUCCCGGGCCUU
rnacentral:rRNA from 1 species